rnacentral:rRNA from 1 species
UACGUAGGGUCCAAGCGUUGUCCGGAGUUACUGGGCGUAAAGCGCGCGCAGGCGGUCCACUAAGCCCGGCGUGAAAGCCCCCGGCUCAACCGGGGAGGGUCGUCGGGGACUAGUGGACUUGAGGGCGGCAGGGGCUGGUGGAAUUCCCGGUGUAGUGGUGAAAUGCGUAGAGAUCGGGAGGAACACCCGUGGCGAAGGCGGCCAGCUGGGCCGGCCCUGACGCUGAGGCGCGAAGGCGUGGGGAGCGAACGGG